UACGGGGGGAGCAAGCGUUGUUCGGAAUUACUGGGCGUAAAGCGUGCGCAGGCGGUGGCUCAAGCCAGGCGUGAAAUCCCCGGGCUUAACCUGGGAAUGGCGUUUGGGACUGGGUCGCUAGAGUGUGGCAGAGGGAGGUGGAAUUCCACGUGUAGCAGUGAAAUGCGUAGAGAUGUGGAGGAACACCGAUGGCGAAGGCAGCCUCCUGGGCCAGCACUGACGCUCAUGCACGAAAGCGUGGGGAGCAAACAGG
rnacentral:rRNA from 1 species